rnacentral:rRNA from 1 species
UGAAACCUGCGGAAGGAUCAUUG